rnacentral:rRNA from 1 species
GACGGGGGGGGUAAGUGUUUUUCGGAAUGACUGGGCGUAAAGGGCACGUAGGCGGUGAAUCGGGUUGAAAGUGAAAGUCGCCAAAAAGUGGCGGAAUGCUCUCGAAACCAAUUCACUUGAGUGAGACAGAGGAGAGUGGAAUUUCGUGUGUAGGGGUGAAAUGCGCAGAUAUCAGGAGGAACACCGGUGGCGAAGGCGGAUCUCUGGGCCGUAACUGACGCUGAGGAGCGAAAGCAUGGGGAGCGAACAGG